GCUCAGAUUGAACGCUGGCGGCAGGCCUAACACAUGCAAGUCGAACGGUAACAGGAAGAAGCUUGCUUCUUUGCUGACGAGUGGCGGACGGGUGAGUAAUGUCUGGGAAACUGCCUGAUGGAGGGGGAUAACUACUGGAAACGGUAGCUAAUACCGCAUAACGUCGCAAGACCAAAGAGGGGGACCUUCGGGCCUCUUGCCAUCGGAUGUGCCCAGAUGGGAUUAGCUAGUAGGUGGGGUAAAGGCUCACCUAGGCGACGAUCCCUAGCUGGUCUGAGAGGAUGACCAGCCACACUGGAACUGAGACACGGUCCAGACUCCUACGGGAGGCAGCAGUGGGGAAUAUUGCACAAUGGGCGCAAGCCUGAUGCAGCCAUGCCGCGUGUAUGAAGAAGGCCUUCGGGUUGUAAAGUACUUUCAGCGGGGAGGAAGGGAGUAAAGUUAAUACCUUUGCUCAUUGACGUUACCCGCAGAAGAAGCACCGGCUAACUCCGUGCCAGCAGCCGCGGUAAUACGGAGGGUGCAAGCGUUAAUCGGAAUUACUGGGCGUAAAGCGCACGCAGGCGGUUUGUUAAGUCAGAUGUGAAAUCCCCGGGCUCAACCUGGGAACUGCAUCUGAUACUGGCAAGCUUGGGUCUCGUAGAGGGGGGUAGAAUUCCAGGUGUAGCGGUGAAAUGCGUAGAGAUCUGGAGGAAUACCGGUGGCGAAGGCGGCCCCCCUGGACGAAGACUGACGCUCAGGUGCGAAAGCGUGGGGGGCAAACAGGAUUAGAUACCCUGGUAGUCCACGCCGUAAACGAUGUCGACUUGGAGGUUGUGCCCUUGAGGCGUGGCUUCCGGAGCUAACGCGUUAAGUCGACCGCCUGGGGAGUACGGCCGCAAGGUUAAAACUCAAAUGAAUUGACGGGGGCCCGCACAAGCGGUGGAGCAUGUGGUUUAAUUCGAUGCAACGCGAAGAACCUUACCUGGUCUUGACAUCCACAGAACUUUCCAGAGAUGGAUUGGUGCCUUCGGGAACUGUGAGACAGGUGCUGCAUGGCUGUCGUCAGCUCGUGUUGUGAAAUGUUGGGUUAAGUCCCGCAACGAGCGCAACCCUUAUCCUUUGUUGCCAGCGGUCCGGCCGGGAACUCAAAGGAGACUGCCAGUGAUAAACUGGAGGAAGGUGGGGAUGACGUCAAGUCAUCAUGGCCCUUACGACCAGGGCUACACACGUGCUACAAUGGCGCAUACAAAGAGAAGCGACCUCGCGAGAGCAAGCGGACCUCAUAAAGUGCGUCGUAGUCCGGAUUGGAGUCUGCAACUCGACUCCAUGAAGUCGGAAUCGCUAGUAAUCGUGGAUCAGAAUGCCACGGUGAAUACGUUCCCGGGCCUUGUACACACCGCCCGUCACACCAUGGGAGUGGGUUGCAAAAGAAGUAGGUAGCUUAACCUUCGGGAGGGCGCUUACCACUUUGUGAUUCAU
rnacentral:rRNA from 1 species